rnacentral:rRNA from 1 species
AAAAACAUUUCUUAUAAAAUGAUUAUAAGUAAAUUCUGCUCAAUGUCAUAUAAAUAGCCGCAGGAUUAUUACUGUGCUAAGGUAGCAUAAUCAUUUACCUUUUAAUUAAAGGUCUGUAUGAAAGAAUAUACAUUUAAAUUUCUUUUUUAUCUAAAUAAAUCUAAUUUUAAUUAAAAAUAAAAAUGUUUUUAUUUACAAGAAAGACGAUAAGACCCUAAUGAACUUUACUCAAGUUAAGCUGGGGAAGCUAAUUAAAUAUAAUUUUAAUUUUUAUAAAAUUUCUAAUAAAAUUAAUAUAAAAAGUUACCAUAGGGAUAACAGCGUAAUAAAUUUUUAAAGCUCUUAUUAAAAAAUAAGUUUACGACCUCGAUGUUGAAUU